rnacentral:rRNA from 1 species
GGGUGCGAUGAUACCAGCGUUAAUGCAUCAGAUCCCAUUAAAACUCUGUAGUUAAGCGUGCUUGGGAUAGAGUAGUACUGGGAUGGGUGACCUCUCGAGAAUUCCUAGUGUUUAACUCU